UACGUAGGGUGCAAGCGUUGUCCGGAAUUAUUGGGCGUAAAGAGCUCGUAGGCGGUCUGUCACGUCGGCUGUGAAAUCCCGAGGCUCAACCUCGGGUCUGCAGUCGAUACGGGCAGACUAGAGUGCGGUAGGGGAGACUGGAAUUCCUGGUGUAGCGGUGAAAUGCGCAGAUAUCAGGAGGAACACCGGUGGCGAAGGCGGGUCUCUGGGCCGAUACUGACGCUGAGGAGCGAAAGCGUGGGGAGCGAACAGG
rnacentral:rRNA from 1 species